rnacentral:rRNA from 1 species
UGGGGAAUUUUGGACAAUGGGGGAAACCCUGAUCCAGCCAUCCCGCGUGUGCGAUGAAGGCCUUCGGGUUGUAAAGCACUUUUGGCAGGAAAGAAACGUCGCGGGUUAAUACCCCGCGAAACUGACGGUACCUGCAGAAUAAGCACCGGCUAACUACGUGCCAGCAGCCGCGGUAAUACGUAGGGUGCAAGCGUUAAUCGGAAUUACUGGGCGUAAAGCGUGCGCAGGCGGUUCGGAAAGAAAGAUGUGAAAUCCCAGAGCUUAACUUUGGAACUGCAUUUUUAACUACCGGGCUAGAGUGUGUCAGAGGGAGGUGGAAUUCCGCGUGUAGCAGUGAAAUGCGUAGAUAUGCGGAGGAACACCGAUGGCGAAGGCAGCCUCCUGGGAUAACACUGACGCUCAUGCACGAAAGCGUGGGGGAGCAAACAGGAUUAGAUACCCCUGGUAGUCCACGCCCCUAAACGAUGUCAACUAGCUGUUGGGGCCUUCGGGCCUUGGUAGCGCAGCUAACGCGUGAAGUUGACCGCCUGGGGAGUACGGUCGCAAGAUUAAAACUCAAAUGAAUUGAC